UUGAAAGUACAACGAAUAGAUCUCGAAAGUAUAACGAAUAUGUGUAGAGCAUAUUCUGUGUUCACUCCAGUGUUGUUGUGUAUACCUAGCUGCCACUGAAAGAAGGGUGUGACAUUUUGAGUGAACACGACUUAAAUAAAAAAAGACGCCACAAACCUAAAGCGAGAAUACAUCAAACUGAUAAAAAAGAAAUCGUAAUACAUAUUGACUGUAGGUAAAUAUUACUGUAAAAAUAUUGCAAAUAGUAACAGAAAAGAAGGAUUUCAGAAUAACAUAUAAACAUAACUCAGUACCUUGUGUGUGGUUUCGUGUCUGUAUCCUUUCGUGUUUUAGUGGUGUGUGUGUGUGUGUGUGUGUUUGUGUUUGUUGUGCGUACGCAUAUCAUGUUCGGAUUCAACUUAGAUCAUACCCUUAUACGGUGUCCUUGAACUAUGUAUAGUGGCUUAUUCUGAGCAAAUCAGGGUAAAGGCAGGAAUAAUUAUGUUCUCGUAGUACAGAAAACACCACCUGAACAACAUACGAUUAUGUUUACUUUCAGACAGUGAUAUUAACCUAAUUAGUUCGAUAUAUUGAAUAAU